AAUCCAUGACGUGGGCAUUGUCCGAGCAUAUUUAUUGUAUUUAUCCCAUGCUUCAAAUAAAAAUUCUGAGUCGGAUUGUCUGAAGCUUGAAAUAAGAUUUCUAAUAUG